AGAAGCCUGGCUUUCCAUUAGAGAGUGGGAAGAGAAAUGUGCGGUUUGCAUCAGAUGGCCAUGGUGAGCCUUUUAGGGAAUGGGACCUUUGAACAAAACUUGAAAGAAAUGGUGAGCUACACUCUGACACCAUUCGGGGAAUGCUCCCAAGGGAGGACUAGCCAGUGCCGGAGCCGUAAGGUGGGAGCAGGAAAACAGGAGGCCGUGGCUGGAGCAGAGGGACUGAGUUUGGGGCUGAAGGGAAGAUGGAGAGAUUGCGGCUCUUCCUCUGCACACAUCUGCUCAAAGGAGCUGCUCUAUUGUGAGGCAGUUUUGCACUCGGUCCGCAGGGAUCUUGGUGGGAGCAGACAGCCCAGGCCCUUCAGGUACAGUCCCAGGCCCUGUCAAUGUGUCCCGGGAAGUUCCCUCUCUGGUGGGAGUUGCAGCUUCCUACAACCCUGAGAACUUUGCCCUGCCCCGCUGCAGUGUGUAACAACUCAUCUAAAGGUCGCUGUACACAGGCCUUCUGGGACAUCUUAGGAGCCACAAGGGUAGGUGUGCUGAGAGGUGGCUUGACCAGCUACAGUGUCAGAUGUUGCCCGGCUGGUG
rnacentral:lncRNA from 1 species